rnacentral:lncRNA from 1 species
GUCGAUCUAUCCCGCUGUGCUCGUUGAGGAUGUGGUGCCGCCGUCCUUGAAGGCGGACGUCCUGGCCAUGGUGAUGGGGGCUGCGUGGGCCGUCGCCAUUGAUGGCAGACUACGCGCGCUACGGUGACGGCGGGCCGGGAGACGGCGUCCGUGCGGAAGACGGAGGCUGAGCGGUUUAUGUGUGCUGGAGUUUGCUCCGGCGGCGUGGAGAGGAGCUGCAGCCGGCGCAUCGCAAAGGGAUGGAGGCCCCCUUCUCCCAGCCAGUCACCGAUUAUAUGUGGGUACGUGUAUUUCUGCAACCUCAUCUGAAGCAUACUAUUCUAUUAUGCUCGAAGCCCAAAUAGUAAACAGGAUGCGCUUUGCAUAGAGUCGAUGCUCACAAACAUGGGGCUAAUUAUACAUGGUAAACAUGAAUAAACUAUAGGUCUUACCGAACCAAAUUAGAUAGGAGUCUGCGUGCGUUUAUCUUAGCGGCGUGGCACCCGGGUUGAUAGUGGAGCUGAUUGAAUUGGAGGCGGGGACAGAUUAGCAGGAAACCAAUGCCACGAAGAGUGCGUGAGGUUCGUAUGCCAAGCAGACUUAUAUGCAACCAUGGAUAGGAAAGUGAUCCCGUAUUAAUUAAUUAGAGUUAAUGCGCAUUAUUACACAAGGAAUUAGUGGGGAAACAAAAAAAAGGAAAGAACAUAGAUAUAGCAGUUGAUCCCGGACAGAAUCUCAUCUGUCAUUGAUUUCUUUCAUCUAGCUGGAUUUAUAAUGAUGACAACACGUACUAUAAAAAUAGAUCCUUGUGAAGCUGUUUUAGAGGCGACGAACACUAAGUGGCUGUGCGAACAUAAUAACAUUUGAACAUCAUUAUAGAGCAUCGAAGUGAAUUUUGCAUCAGACUUGAACCCUCCUCAUUCGUUGAACGUGAACAUGGCUCGUUCGUUGAACAAUCAAGUUGGCCCGGUUGAGCAUCUCCUAGUGCCGCACGGCAGGCUGCCAGCUCGUAGGACUGCUGGUUGUCUGGUUGGAAGACAAGCUGGCUCAUGUAUGUCGUUUUCAAGAACCGUACAAAAUAGGUUUAAUAAAACAACAUACAAUCCAUAUUUUUAUAUAAGAUGGUCAUGUUAAACAUUCUUCGAUUACACAAGCACUCACGUUGUGCUCUGUUGACCUCAAGCAGUGUGGCACCUAAAGUCCAGAGCCCCUGCUUUGCUAGUCCCCACCGCAUCAAGUGGCGUGACACAUGCUGGUCCCAGACACGUAGGUAGAUAAACUCCCUCCUGGUUGAGCAAUAAAAUGUUAGCCCACUGCCAUGCAUCACAUGUCGGUAUGGUGUGGUACGGUCGUCUGACCUGUAUAACAUUAUUUUGCUGACAUGCAUCACUAUGCCAAUGACAUCUAGGAAAAAAUGAUGUGAAUUUGUUAAGAAAGUCUGGCUCAACUACAUGUCAGCAAAAUUCAUUGUGAGAUGAUACAAUGCACCUGCAAGCAUCCUGUUUCUGAGGCUGUAGACAUCUAUAAAAUCAAUGAAUCGUGGCGGCAACGAAGGGAUGUUAAUGCUGGCCCUGGCAAGAAGUAUUUCAGUGCGCGAGUGGAGGGCGAUGUAAAAGUCACAUGGCACCGGCAAUGCAACUGGCAGAUGCAUAGCUGCUGGUUCAAAACCAACUUUUUUGAAUAAGUGUACUGAGCCGGCACGUAGGUUGUCACUGAAGCGAUAUGCGAUCGGUUGAAAUGGAUCAAAUGCAAUUGCAUCCAUUUUGACCCCCUGAAAAUCUAUUGCAUACAUUAGCAGCAUGUUGAAUAUAUUAUCAGCAGAUCACUUGAUAGCAUAUCUUCUUUGAAUACUUACAGUUUGGUCGAUGAGGAUGGCGUGAAAGAUGACUGCUCCACUGCGGGUAUGUUUGAUGCGAGCAUACAAAACCUUUGCCGUUGCGUCCCAACCUCUAGUGUAUAUAUGUAGGUUUUCUAUUUCGCCGAACCUUACAUGUCUGCAAUUGGUUGACAAAGAGCACAAUUCUGUAUAUUUCCUAAUGCAAAUAACUAAAAGCAGGAAUGGAUAAAAUGUUGCCUGGCGAUCGGCGGUGGAGGGCCAACGGGAGCGGGAACGAAGUUCACAGGCGGUGGUGCCAUGACCCUCUGUGAGCCAGGACGGCCCAUCCUGGGUCCCAUCGGCAUGAGUGCUAAGACCCGAUUUCUCUUCUAACACGACUCAUGGUUCAGAACGCAAGGACGUAUAUUGACUGAUCUGACUAUUUUCAUUUUCAUUGGCGCCAAGUAAACCAUGGUGAUAGGAAAAAGGAAGUGAUUGAAAGAAGGAGAUUGAUCAACGUUUGAUUGAAAGAAGGAAGGAGAUUUAUCACCGUCAUGAAUGAAUUGAUUGCCAUGCAUGAAUUGAUUGUUGAUUGAUU